GUGUCGAUAAAUACACCUAAAUAUUAUUCACCGCAGUUGUGCUGUUUGUGUCGUUUUACGAAAGGUUUUACAGUGGCUUUAUUUUUUUAGAUGCUUAUAAAUCUAAUGUGUUUCAGUUAUUCUUCGCUUCCUCUUUCAGUUUGUCGGAGGAGAUGAUCUUUAGCAGCGUAACAUCAAACUUGCUUUCACUUUAUCCGUAUCCGUGAUCCUCAUUUCAUCGUGACACACAUACAUUUAUAUCUGAAACAUUUUAGGUGAUUUUUGGUGCUUUGUGGGGAAUAUACAUCCAUCUCACUUUAGACAUAAAACCACAUGGAAGAAGAGAGCUGCUGUUGUGCAGAAAGUGAGUCUAAAGUCGCUCUGUAAGGCGAGACAGUUGAGUCAUAAUAUCGAGAUAAAUUAAUUUCCUAGCGUGUUUCCUGAUUUACUGCUUAUGCAGAAGAAUGUCAUGCGCAAGCAGCGCAACUGGGAGAGGAGGCCGGAGGUGAAAAAAAGCCAAAGAAAAGAGGAGAAACAGAGAAAGAAGCUCAACAGACAAAGUAAAGAUGUGAAUGAAUUCCGCCCACAGCUCAGUAAACGUGUCAAUAAAAGCGAUUACCAAAGAGAGACUGGAGGAGGCCAGAGGAGCAGGACUGCGCCUGUGUGUUGAUCUCAGCAUGACUGACUGUCUGUCUGUCUCCCAAAAGAAAUCUUCCGCCUUGCAUGUCAGAUCAGGGCCUUUACGGAUGCAAUAAAAAAGCCUUACAGCCUUUCCGCGUAUUUCUGACGGAGUUAAAAGAGGACAGUCUGCUGUAUAAGGAGUGUGUUCGGAUGAAUGACGGCUUCCUGAAUUAUUUGAUUGAUGUGACUGAGGAGAGCUGGUUUCAUCUGUUUCCCUCUGAAGAUGU